rnacentral:rRNA from 1 species
UACACUCCUACGGGAGGCAGCAGUGGGGAAUAUUGCACAAUGGGCGCAAGCCUGAUGCAGCCAUGCCGCGUGUAUGAAGAAGGCCUUCGGGUUGUAAAGUACUUUCAGCGGGGAGGAAGGCGAUAAGGUUAAUAACCUUGUUGAUUGACGUUACCCGCAGAAGAAGCACCGGCUAACUCCGUGCCAGCAGCCGCGGUAAUACGGAGGGUGCAAGCGUUAAUCGGAAUUACUGGGCGUAAAGCGCACGCAGGCGGUCUGUCAAGUCGGAUGUGAAAUCCCCGGGCUCAACCUGGGAACUGCAUUCGAAACUGGCAGGCUAGAGUCUUGUAGAGGGGGGUAGAAUUCCAGGUGUAGCGGUGAAAUGCGUAGAGAUCUGGAGGAAUACCGGUGGCGAAGGCGGCCCCCUGGACAAAGACUGACGCUCAGGUGCGAAAGCGUGGGGAGCAAACAGGAUUAGAAACCCCUGUAGUCCCA